rnacentral:tRNA from 1 species
GCGCUUAUGGCCUAAUGGAUAAGGCGCCUGACUUCUAAUCAGCCGAUUGUGGGUUCGAGUCCCACUUAGCGUG